GCAAGUCGAGCGGUAGCACAGAGAGCUUGCUCUCGGGUGACGAGCGGCGGACGGGUGAGUAAUGUCUGGGAAACUGCCUGAUGGAGGGGGAUAACUACUGGAAACGGUAGCUAAUACCGCAUAACGUCGCAAGACCAAAGUGGGGGACCUUCGGGCCUCAUGCCAUCAGAUGUGCCCAGAUGGGAUUAGCUAGUAGGUGGGGUAACGGCUCACCUAGGCGACGAUCCCUAGCUGGUCUGAGAGGAUGAC
rnacentral:rRNA from 2 species